rnacentral:rRNA from 1 species
CGGACGGGUGAGUAAUGCCUAGGAAUCUGCCUGGUAGUGGGGGACAACGUUUCGAAAGGAACGCUAAUACCGCAUACGUCCUACGGGAGAAAGCAGGGGACCUUCGGGUCUUGCGCUAUCAGAUGAGCCUAGGUCGGAUUAGCUAGUUGGUGAGGUAAUGGCUCACCAAGGCGACGAUCCGUAACUGGUCUGAGAGGAUGAUCAGUCACACUGGAACUGAGACACGGUCCAG